rnacentral:lncRNA from 1 species
GUAGCUUCCUUGUCGUGUGGCCUCAGUCCUUCGCCGUCCCUCGCCGUCCUUCGCCAUCGCACGCCACCGCACCCCAUCUCUCGAAAUCUGCAGACAUCUUGAUUUUUCCCACGCUGUCUGUCAGGUCUCCGCCGCCACUCGACGCCAGGGCGCCGGGCCUUGUGGGCUGUGCUGCACCUCGGACGGCUUCGCACCAGCCAGCGCCCUCUCUCUCCUGCAGCACUCUGAUCUGCACCCCCUGAGGGGCUUCCACUGUCCGCGGGGUGAGAAUGCCCCUGGGAGUGUCACAUGACUGCCGCCCCAUGUGUGUGAGAGGCGUCCUCUGGGAGAGCAUGGAUCCUGAGGUCCCAGGAACAUCCCGAGAGCCAAGUUCCCAGAUGCCAGCCAAGGGCCAUCUGACCUGUUUUGAAUCUCAAUUUCCUGAUACAGAAAACAAAGGAUUGUCAGCUGACCUCUGUCCUGUGUGCCCAGUGGCCCCAGGUGACGUGUCUUCAAGAAGAGGCUGAGCUGCGGUGCUUGUAAGAGUCAUGUGCUGUUCCUGGGGCUUGGAUGAUGUAGGGGAAGCAAGGUGAAAGUGGUAUCCCGUGGUUCCACGUUCUGUCCUGCUGUGGGGCUGUCCCUCACAUGCUUUCAGUGGCUGUUGCAGAGGAAGAGCCUCCGGAAAUCUGCGUGGGUCUCAGCCUUAGAUCCAAGGACAGUCCAAGGAAGUCCUAAGACCAUGGAGUUGGUGAUCUGGGAUCUGGGUUUGCUGAUAUUUCUCACCGUGAAUCUCUUGGUGGUGUUUGUGGGCACGAGAGGGGCAGAGAAUGGAGAGUGAGGCUACCACAUGAAGCGUCACCAGAGCUGCUCCCUGCUGCCUGCUCAGAGCACCCCGGAUCCACUGUUCAAUCUGCACAAGAUUCGGGGUCCAGACAUGGGAGACUUCAGCUGCCUCAGAGGACCGUGGACAGGGAAGGCCAGCCUCGCAUCCCUCUGUCCAUGCCUGGAAUGACUUUAAUAACCAAGAGUUUUAUUUUUGAAUUUGUAGCUGUCGUUCACUUUUUACCCACCCAUUCAAUAAACCUUACAGAAUUGCUC